rnacentral:rRNA from 1 species
UGUCUACAGCCAUACCACCCUGAACGUGCCCAAUCUCAUCUGAUCUCGGAAGCUAAGCAGGGUCGGGCCUGGUUAGUACUUGGAUGGGAGACAAGAGAAAUAGCUUUGUUGUGAUGU